rnacentral:rRNA from 1 species
CCUACGGGGUGCAGCAGUGGGGAAUAUUGGACAAUGGGCGAAAGCCUGAUCCAGCCAUGCCGCGUGUGUGAAGAAGGCCUUCGGGUUGUAAAGCACUUUCAGUGGGGAAGAAAGCCUUGGGGCUAAUACCCUCGAGGAAGGACAUCACCCACAGAAGAAGCACCGGCUAACUCCGUGCCAGCAGCCGCGGUAAUACGGAGGGUGCGGGCGUUAAUCGGAAUUACUGGGCGUAAAGCGCGCGUAGGCGGUCUGAUAAGCCGGUUGUGAAAGCCCCGGGCUCAACCUGGGAACGGCAUCCGGAACUGUCAGGCUAGAGUGCAGGAGAGGAAGGUAGAAUUCCCGGUGUAGCGGUGAAAUGCGUAGAGAUCGGGAGGAAUACCAGUGGCGAAGGCGGCCUUCUGGACUGACACUGACGCUGAGGUGCGAAAGCGUGGGUAGCAAACAGGAUUAGAUACCCGUGUAGUC